rnacentral:rRNA from 1 species
AAUGCCGUGCUAAGUGGCAAAGGAUGUGGCGAUACAAAAACAACCAGGAUGUUGGCUUAGAAGCAGCCACCAUUAAAAGAGUGCGUAAUAGCUCACUGGUCGAGUGUCGCUGCGCCGAAGAUGUCCGGGGCUAAAGCACGGAACCGAAGCUAUGGCAGAACUUAAAUGUUCUGGGUAGGGGAGCGUUCCUAUCGGGUAGAAGCGAUACCGGAAGGAGUCGUGGACUGGUAGGAAGUGAGAAUGCCGGUAUGAGUAGCGAAAAGGAAGGUGAGAAUCCUUCCCACCGAAAGCCUAAGGAUUCCUGAGGAAGGAUCGUCCGCUCAGGGUAAGUCGGGACCUAAGCCGAGGCGUAAAUGCGUAGGCGAUGGACAACAGGUUGAUAUUCCUGUACCACCCAAAGUCGUUUGAGCAAUGGAGUGACACAGUAAGGUAGGUAAGCGCGAGGAUGGAAAUUCGCGUCUAAGCUGGUAGGGUGUCUGCGAGGCAAAUCCCGCAGACGUAAAGCCUGAGGAGUGAUGGGGAGCUAAUAGAAAUAUUGGCGAACUUACUGACCCUAGACUGUCAAGAAAAGCUUCUAGCGAGACAAUGGGUGCCCGUACCGCAAACCGACACAGGUAGGCGGGGAGAGAAUCCUAAGGUGCGCGGGAGAACCCUCGUUAAGGAACUCGGCAAAAUGUCCCCGUAACUUCGGGAGAAGGGGAGCCUUGAUAUGUGUAGGUUCGAAACGACUGAAGCAUGUUGAGGUCGCAGAAGAGAGGCCCAAGCGACUGUUUACCACAAACACAGGUGCCUGCUAAAGCGAAAGCUGACGUAUAGGUGCUGACACCUGCCCGGUGCUGGAAGGUUAAGGGGAGUGCUUAGAAGCAAUUCGAAGGUGUGAACCGAAGCCCCAGUAAACGGCGGCCGUAACUAUAACGGUCCUAAGGUAGCGAAAUUCCUUGUCGGGUAAGUUCCGACCCGCACGAAAGGUGUAACGACUUGGGCACUGUCUCAACGAGGGACCCGGUGAAAUUGAAAUACCUGUGAAGAUGCAGGUUACCCGCGACUGGACAGAAAGACCCCAUGGAGCUUUACUGUAGCCUGACAUUGGGUUUUGGUAAAUCAUGUACAGGAUAGGUGGGAGACUUAGAAGGCGGGACGCCAGUCUCGCUGGAGUCGAUGUUGGGAUACCACCCUUGAUUUACUGGAGUUCUAACUGAAGGAGUAACGAAACUCAGGACAGUGUCAGGUGGGCAGUUUGACUGGGGCGGUCGCCUCCGAAAGAGUAACGGAGGCGCCCAAAGGUUCCCUCAGCGCGGUUGGAAAUCGCGCGAAGAGUGCAAAGGCAGAAGGGAGCUUGACUGCGAGACGGACAGGUCGAGCAGGGACGAAAGUCGGGCUUAGUGAUCCGGUGGUACCGAGUGGAAGGGCCAUCGCUCAACGGAUAAAAGCUACCCUGGGGAUAACAGGCUUAUCU